rnacentral:SRP_RNA from 1 species
GCUGGGCGUGGUGGCACACGCCUGUAAUCCCAGCUACUCGGGAGGCUGAGGCAGGAGAAUCGCUUGAACCCAGGAGGUCGAGGUUGCAGUGAGCCGAGAUUGUGCCACCGCACUCUAGCCUGGGCGACAGAGCGAGACUCCGUCUCAA